CCUACGGGGGGCAGCAGUGGGGAAUAUUGGACAAUGGGGGCAACCCUGAUCCAGCCAUGCCGCGUGUGUGAAGAAGGCCCUCGGGUUGUAAAGCACUUUCAGUGAGGAAGAACGCCUGGUGGUUAAUACCCAUCAGGAAAGACAUCACUCACAGAAGAAGCACCGGCUAACUCCGUGCCAGCAGCCGCGGUAAUACGGAGGGUGCGAGCGUUAAUCGGCAUUACUGGGCGUAAAGCGCGCGUAGGUGGCUUGAUAAGCCGGUUGUGAAAGCCCCGGGCUCAACCUGGGAACGGCAUCCGGAACUGUCAAGCUAGAGUGCAGGAGAGGAAGGUAGAAUUCCCGGUGUAGCGGUGAAAUGCGUAGAGAUCGGGAGGAAUACCAGUGGCGAAGGCGGCCUUCUGGACUGACACUGACACUGAGGUGCGAAAGCGUGGGUAGCAAACAGGAUUAGAUACCCCAGUAGUC
rnacentral:rRNA from 1 species